rfam:Triticum aestivum genome assembly, contig: Triticum_aestivum_CS42_TGACv1_scaffold_146603_2BS
GAAUUACUCCCUCCAUCCGAAAAUACUUGUUGAUGAAAUGGAUAAAAAUAGAUGUAUCUAGCUAGAACUAAACUAUGUCUAGGUACAUGCAUUUCUCCGACAAGUAUUUACGAAUGGAAGGAGUAUUAA